rnacentral:rRNA from 1 species
UCGAUGAAGAACGCAGCGAAAUGCGAUAAGUAGUGUGAAUUGCAGAAUUCAGUGAAUCAUCGAAUCUUUGAACGCACAUUGCGCCCCUUGGUAUUCCAUGGGGCAUGCCUGUUCGAGCGUCAUUUGUACCUUCAAGCUCUGCUUGGUGUUGGGUGUUUGUCUCGCCUCUGCGCGCAGACUCGCCUCAAAACGAUUGGCAGCCGGCGUAUUGAUUUCGGAGCGCAGUACAUCUCGCGCUUUGCACUCACAACGACGACGUCCAAAAAGUACAUUUUUACACUCUUGACCUCGGAUCAGGUAGGGAUACCCGCUGAACUUAAGCAUAUCAAUAAGCGGAGGA